rnacentral:rRNA from 1 species
ACCUAAUAGAUACCCUGGUAGUCCACGCCCUAAACGAUGCGAACUGGACGUUGGGUGGACUUAGCCACUCAGUGUCGAAAGCUAAACGCGUUAAGUUCGCCGCCUGGGGAGUACGGUCGCAAGACUGAAACUCAAAGGAAUUGACGGGGGCCCGCACAAGCGGUGGAGUAUGUGGUUUAAUUCGAUGCAACGCGCAGAACCUUACCUGGCCUUGACAUGUCCGGAAUCCUGCAGAGAUGCGGGAGUGCCUUCGGGAAUCGGAACACAGGUGCUGCAUGGCUGUCGUCAGCUCGUGUCGUGAGAUGUUGGGUUAAGUCCCGCAACGAGCGCAACCCUUGUCCCUAGUUGCCAGCACGUAAUGGUGGGAACUCUAGGGAGACUGCCGGUGACAAACCGGAGGAAGGUGGGGAUGAGGUCAAGUCAUCAUGGCCCUUA